UCAUAUCCAGUAGGUUCUCUUUUGAC
rnacentral:piRNA from 1 species